GACAGAGGGUGCAAACGUUGUUCGGAAUUACUGGGCGUAAAGCGUGUGUAGGCGGCCAUUCAAGUCGGAUGUGAAAGCCCCGGGCUCAACCCGGGAAGUGCACCCGAAACUGGAUGGCUUGAGUAUCGGAGAGGUUGGUGGAAUUCUCGGUGUAGAGGUGAAAUUCGUAGAUAUCGAGAGGAACACCGGUGGCGAAGGCGGCCAACUGGACGAAUACUGACGCUGAGACACGAAAGCGUGGGGAGCAAACAGG
rnacentral:rRNA from 1 species